CCACCAUCAAACAUGACAGAGUCAAAUGGUGAAAACAUCAACAAUAUGCCACAACGGCAGGGUCAUGGUGCAGCUGAGUCAGCAGCCAGAAAUUUGGUGUCUGUGCUGCUAAACAGUAUGUCCACAAACUGCCCAACACGGCCGUCAGAGACAGAGCUCCCAGUCCCUAGAAAUGUGCCUGUAACAGUUCAGCAAGAAAUGACAAGAUCUUUUCCAGGAUAUUUUAAAUCAAACUUCAGUCCUGGUAAAAAGAGGUGUUUGACUGCCACGAAGCAACUUGUAAAGACAAGUAAAACAACUGCUCUCAAUUUUUAUCUUCUUCCCAAAAA